rnacentral:lncRNA from 1 species
UUAUUGUGCUACAAUUAAUCAAGGAAUUGUGCUUGAAUGUCCAGUAUUUCCCCAUUUUUCCUAAUUAUGCUUAAUUUGAUAACAAAUUCCUAUUUUAAUUAAUUUGAAUUAUCUGAGACUAAUUAUUUGCAUUUUUAAUUGUAGGGAGAUUGUUGGAUAAUAUUUGGGGACUUUAAGAGAAAUGCAUCAUCAAUUUUAUUUUGAACUAAAAUGAGAAAGGAGGUGAAGAUUUUAUUUUUAGGGGUGCACAUGGAGAUGGGUUAGAGUGAAGAAAACAUGGGAAAUAAAUACGUGGUGGUCCAGCUAGCAAAAAGAAGCUGCAUCCAGCAGCAGCACACGCAACAUGGAAGCACUUGGGAAUUAGGAAUUGGAAGAAAAUGGUGCCACGACACAACAUGUAGCAUGAUUCAUUCCAGCGUUGGGAGGUGCACUGCCUUGGGCUGCAACAUCCAACACACCAUGCAUCCAACUGCUUGGAUUUAGAUUUUCUUCAUGUCACAACCUGUUCCAGCAAGUAGCAUCCAAGCAGAUCCACAUAAUCAUGCGUUCAACACACAAUGAUCCAAGCGGUCCAGCUCUCACGAUGGAAGCACCUCGGC